rnacentral:rRNA from 1 species
CUGGAGGACCGAACCGACUAAUGUUGAAAAAUUAGCGGAUGACUUGUGGCUGGGGGUGAAAGGCCAAUCAAACCGGGAGAUAGCUGGUUCUCCCCGAAAGCUAUUUAGGUAGCGCCUCGUGAAUUCAUCUCCGGGGGUAGAGCACUGUUUCGGCAAGGGGGUCAUCCCGACUUACCAACCCGAUGCAAACUGCGAAUACCGGAGAAUGUUAUCACGGGAGACACACGGCGGGUGCUAACGUCCGUCGUGAAGAGGGAAACAACCCAGACCGCCAGCUAAGGUCCCAAAGUCAUGGUUAAGUGGGAAACGAUGUGGGAAGGCCCAGACAGCCAGGAUGUUGGCUUAGAAGCAGCCAUCAUUUAAAGAAAGCGUAAUAGCUCACUGGUCGAGUCGGCCUGCGCGGAAGAUGUAACGGGGCUAAACCAUG